CUACAAUCAAAAUCGGUAACUAUCAGCUUUCAGGGGGGUCUCAGGUUAUCAUGACGAUCGGGGUAAAGGAUGAACUACUAUUGCGGUCUGAAUUGAGGGAGUUUUGAUAAAGUUUUGAUAACCGUUCGAAUACUAAUAAUAAAAACGGGGACGUUAA
rnacentral:sRNA from 1 species